rnacentral:rRNA from 1 species
UACGAAGGGGGCUAGCGUUGUUCGGAAUUAUUGGGCGUAAAGGGCGCGUAGGCGGCGCAACAAGUCACUUGUGAAAUCUCCGGGCUUAACCCGGAGCGGCCAAGUGAUACUGUCGUGCUAGAGUGCGGAAGGGGCUACUGGAAUUCUCGGUGUAGCGGUGAAAUGCGUAGAUAUCGAGAGGAACACCUGCGGCGAAGGCGGGUAGCUGGGCCGACACUGACGCUGAGGCGCGAAAGCCAGGGGAGCGAACGGG